rnacentral:rRNA from 1 species
UACGAAGGGGGCUAGCGUUGCUCGGAUUGACUGGGCGUAAAGGGCGCGUAGGCGGCGGACACAGUCAGACGUGAAAUUCCUGGGCUCAACCUGGGGGGCUGCGUUUGAUACAUGUCUGCUUGAGUUCGGAAGAGGGUCGUGGAAUUCCCAGUGUAGAGGUGAAAUUCGUAGAUAUUGGGGAAGAACACCGGUGGGCGAAGGCGGCGACCUGGGUCC